CUCAACCUAGCCUGAAGCAGCUGGAUUCCUAUAUUCUGAUGCACCCUCAAAAUUAUCUCAGAAAAAACAUCCUUUACUAGCUGUUAGACUCAAAUUAAGACUAACUUGACCGACUUGAUGCAACUUCUUUCACAGAAUCAUGGAAUCAUAGAAUGGCCUGGAUUGAAAAGGACCAUAAUCAUCAUCAAGUUUCAACCCCCCUGCUAUGUGCAGGGUCACCAACCACCAGACCAGGCUGCAUCCAGAGCCACAUCCAGCCUGGCCUUGAAUGCCACCAGGGAUGGGGCAUCCACAGCCUCCUCGGGCAACCUGUUCCAGCCUCCUUCACCAUGGAAACAGAAGAGGAAUUAUCCAAAAUUUGCCCAGGCAGAAUUAUGAACUAGCUCUACAACUGAACAGUUUGAACACAACUACUAAGUGCUAAUCUAAUCUUUUUCAUACCGCCCAUUCAAGGCUCAGCAGCAGAUAUCUUUGCUUUGCAUUACCCUGGAGAACUUCUGGCAUCACUUAAUGUGGAGCUCACACCUUCUGCCUUUGUUUUAUCUUUAU
ensembl:lncRNA